ACUCGAGUGGCGAACGGGUGAGUAACACGUGGGUGAUCUGCCCUGCACUUUGGGAUAAGCCUGGGAAACUGGGUCUAAUACCGAAUAGGACCACGGCAUUCAUGUGCUGUGGUGGAAAGCUUUUGCGGUGUGGGAUGGGCCCGCGGCCUAUCAGCUUGUUGGUGGGGUAAUGGCCUACCAAGGCGACGACGGGUAGCCGGCCUGAGAGGGUGACCGGCCACACUGGGACUGAGAUACGGCCCAGACUCCUACGGGAGGCAGCAGUGGGGAAUAUUGCACAAUGGGCGCAAGCCUGAUGCAGCGACGCCGCGUGAGGGAUGACGGCCUUCGGGUUGUAAACCUCUUUCGCCAGGGACGAAGCGCAAGUGACGGUACCUGGAGAAGAAGGACCGGCCAACUACGUGCCAGCAGCCGCGGUAAUACGUAGGGUCCGAGCGUUGUCCGGAAUUACUG
rnacentral:rRNA from 1 species